GAUGAACGCUGGCGGCGUGCCUAAUACAUGCAAGUCGAGCGAACGGACGAGAAGCUUGCUUCUCUGAUGUUAGCGGCGGACGGGUGAGUAACACGUGGAUAACCUACCUAUAAGACUGGGAUAACUUCGGGAAACCGGAGCUAAUACCGGAUAAUAUUUUGAACCGCAUGGUUCAAAAGUAAAAGACGGUCUUGCUGUCACUUAUAGAUGGAUCCGCGCUGCAUUAGCUAGUUGGUAAGGUAACGGCUUACCAAUGCAACGAUGCAUAGCCGACCUGAGAGGGUGAUCGGCCACACUGGAACUGAGACACGGUCCAGACUCCUACGGGAGGCAGCAGUAGGGAAUCUUCCGCAAUGGGCGAAAGCCUGACGGAGCAACGCCGCGUGAGUGAUGAAGGUCUUCGGAUCGUAAAACUCUGUUAUUAGGGAAGAACAUAUGUGUAAGUAACUGUGCACAUCUUGACGGUACCUAAUCAGAAAGCCACGGCUAACUACGUG
rnacentral:rRNA from 1 species